rnacentral:rRNA from 1 species
AUUGAACGCUGGCGGCAUGCCUAACACAUGCAAGUCGAACGAGUGGCGGACGGGUGAGUAAUGUAUGGGAACGUGCCCGAUGGAGGGGGAUAACUACUGGAAAGAGUAGCUAAUACCGCAUACCAUCGGAUGUGCCGAGAUGGGAUUAGCUAGUAGGUGGGGUAAAGGCUCACCUAGGCGACGAUCCCUAGCUGGUUUGAGAGGAUGACCAGCCACACUGGAACUGAGACACGGUCCAGACUCCUACGGGAGGCAUCAGUGGGGAAUAUUGGACAAUGGGCGCAAGCCUGAUGCAGCCAUGCCGCGUGUAUGAAGAAGGCCUUCGGGUUGUAAAGUACUUUCAGCGGGGAGGCGUUACCCGCAGAAGAAGCACCGGCUAACUCCGUGCCAGCAGCCGCGGUAAUUC